AUACGUAGGUGGCGAGCGUUGUCCGGAAUUACUGGGCGUAAAGGGUGCGUAGGCGGACCAUCAAGUCAGAUGUGAAAGUCCAUGGCUCAACUGUGGGAGUGCAUUUGAGACUGAUGAUCUAGAGUGCAGGAGAGGGAAGCGGAAUUCCUAGUGUAGCGGUGAAAUGCGUAGAUAUUAGGAAGAACACCAGUGGCGAAGGCGGCUUUCUGGACUGUAACUGACGCUGAAGCACGAAAGCGUGGGGAGCAAACAGGAUUAGAUACCCUGGUAGUCCACGCUGUAAACGAUGAGUAUUAGGUGUAGGGGACGAUAGUCUUCUGUGCCGGAGCAAACGCAAUAAAUACUCCGCCUGGGGAGUACGGUCACAAGACUAAA
rnacentral:rRNA from 1 species